GACGAACGCUGGCGGCGUGCUUAACACAUGCAAGUCGAACGGUGAAGGGGUCUGCUUUUGUGGGCCCUGGAUGAGUGGCGAACGGGUGAGUAACACGUGGGUAACCUGCCCCCUUCUUCUGGAUAACCGCAUGAAAGUGUGGCUAAUACGGGAUAUUCUGGGUCUGUCGCAUGAUGGGUCUGGGAAAGAUUGCGCCUUUGGGUGUUUUUGGUGGGGGAUGGGCUCGCGGCCUAUCAGCUUGUUGGUGGGGUGAUGGCCUACCAAGGCGGUGACGGGUAGCCGGCCUGAGAGGGUGGACGGUCACACUGGGACUGAGACACGGCCCAGACUCCUACGGGAGGCAGCAGUGGGGAAUAUUGCACAAUGGGCGCAAGCCUGAUGCAGCGACGCCGCGUGAGGGAUGGAGGCCUUCGGGUUGUAAACCUCUUUCGCCAGUGAAGCAGGCCUGCUCCUUGUGGGUGGGUUGACGGUAGCUGGAUAAGAAGCGCCGGCUAACUACGUG
rnacentral:rRNA from 1 species